rnacentral:misc_RNA from 1 species
GUUAAAAAAGAAAAAAAAAAUCUAAAGAACAGAUAACAGGGAAAAAAAAUCACCUAAUAACUUGCAAAAUGCUUAGCAUCUUUCUCAAACCAAAACUCUAAUGGUAAAUACCUAAUAAGUUACUAUGUAUGGCAUCAACUACCCAACCCACCAAAUUUGAUUGGACUGGGCAUCCUGAUAAAGGGGGAAAAAAAUUCUCCAGUCCAAAUUAAUCACAUCCAUUGUAGUAAGUUAUGCCAUAUAACUACCAGAAUCACGAAUUCAACAUUCCCUUAUUCCCUCAUCUCAUCCACAGAAACCCUUAAACAGCAUUCAAACCGAAGCUUUCCCACUUUCUUAUAACUGCCUCAUGUUAAAAUGAUGUACUUUAGAAGACAUCAAAUCAACCACUUCAAUAACUUAAGACCUUUUCAAGUCAGCCUCAUAGACCAUUCCAUUUACAUAUUCCUUACAAGAAAAAGCCUAAAAUGUG